GGUUAGAGCACCACCUUGACAUGGUGGGGGUCGUUGGUUCGAGUCCAAUUAAACGCACCA
rnacentral:tRNA from 1 species